rnacentral:rRNA from 1 species
GACAGAGGAGCCAAGCGUUGUCCGGAUUGACUGGGCGUAAAGCGCACGCAGGCGGCCGUGCACGUGGGGUGUGAAAGCUGGCGGCUUAACUGCCAGACGCCACCUCAUACGGCACGGCUCGAGCCCGUGAGAGGUCCACGGAAUUGCCGGUGUAGUGGUGAAAUGCGUAGAGAUCGAGCAGGAACACCCAGGGGGAAACCAGUGGACUGGCACGGUGCUGACGCUCAGGUGCGAAAGCGUGGGGAGCGAACCGG